CUGCCCUGUGUCGGGUCAUGGUCUACAAGAUGGACCACUGUAACUGAGUGACAGCUGGGGAAGGAUGUCAUGGUGCAGCGAGAGGAGAAUAGGAGGGUUCAUUCAAAGGCUCACAACAGUGAUGUUGCACCAGGAUAUUGCAGUGAACCAUGAAGGCUGAUGGGGCAGAGGAGCUCCAACUAUAUCCUGAGAAAAGACAACAUUGUGGAAACACGUCCACACGCCUACCUGGAAGGAAGCAAUGGUCACUUAGUGUUGUCUUUGUUGCCGUCCUUCGUAGGAGUCACCACGUAUGUGUGCCCCAUGCUGUCCACGCC
rnacentral:lncRNA from 1 species